CAUCUUUUAACGUCUUUUGGUAUGACGCGGCUGGGGAUCGAACCCCGGACCUUCCGCUCUCCGGGCGGACGCUCUACCAUUAGACCACGGAGGCGGUGAUGAACACUUUGAAGCUUAAGUGAACUGCGAGAGAUUCUGGACAACCAAGAGGUGUGUGUCCACCCUGUGAUGACCAGCCUCAUCACAGAUCUUGGAGAACGUGGAGUAGCCGGACAACCAAGAGGUGUGUGUCCACCCUGUGAUGACCAGUCUCAUCAGUGAGAUCUUGGAGUACGUGGUGGAGCCAGAGGGACAAGUAAAGAAAAUGAAGCUGCGUGAGGUCCAACUGAAGACAAAGUGGAUCAAACCAGUUCUGAGGCGGCCACGACCGGAAGUGAUGUCAUGUUACC